ACUACAUUGACAAGCUGAUGGAUCUGCUUUUCAAAAGUGUGGUGGAGGAUGCCCGUCCAGGACUACUCUGAACCACUCUGUGCCGAGUUUGAAAGACCUGACAAACAGGAGGCUGUAAGCAAGCACAGGUCCAGAUUUGUCACAAACACAAACCUUUACUCUGUGUAUUUGUUUGCAUUGCCAUUCUGAAAAAAGUCUGAUGUACAAUAAUGUAUUGCUAAUGUUUCAGUUGGUAAAGAAACAUGCAAGAGACUUGGCUAUUAUGUUGGCUCUGCGGUUUCGGAAGGAUGUUGUGAAAAUCAGCCCUCUGUACCACACAUCAACCCUUGUGGCGUUCCCCUCCUUGACAUUCAAAAUUUUCCAGUAAAACUUGGCAUUCAAAGGCAUGUUGGCCAGGUCAUUUUACCUGAGUACAUAGCGUUCUUAAAAGAUGUUGUGUAAUGUGUAAAUUUGACUUGCGAAUAAUAUUUUUACAUUUCGUGCGUUUCUUUUAGGUCAAAAUUGUGAUGCUUCACUGCACGGAAACACAACAUGGUCACACAUUACACAUGCUGGGGAGCGGAGGUACUCCAUAGGUUUCCCAAAGUUCAAACAUGGCCAGUACAUACUGCAAAGACCAAGUCUAUCAUACUUCAAGCUGAUGGCACUGCACAAACAAGAGGCUGUGAGCAGCAUAGGUCAUGAUUCUUCAAGAGCUCAUAAGGUGGGCACUAGAAGUUUGGUAAUUACUGUACUGUAUAGCAAGACCUUCCAGAAUGGAAUUAUGUGUUGUCUUACAUAUUUUUCAUGACAAUAUUACUUUUAGUAAAUAAAAUAUAGUAGUGUCACUUAAUCAUAAUUAAUACAUUUUUGAUUGUAUUUAUUUUCUUUCAGAUGUAUCCGGCAUGGUCAAUGGCAGUAAGGACUAACAGUGUUUCAGAAGCAAAAAGGUGUCAGACAAUUGCUGUAGCUAACAAUGAACUAAAAUCUAGUGGCUGAUGAUAUCUUUGGCCCGUUCCAUCUUCUCCAUCCUCUGAAUUUCCUGCCUGAGGCGUUUGAAAGACAGAAAAGGCUUCUAAUACGUAUGGGUUGUCACAGGUAUCUUCA
rnacentral:lncRNA from 1 species